rnacentral:misc_RNA from 1 species
GAUGAAGAACGUAGCGAAAUGCGAUACGUAAUGUGAAUUGCAGAAUUCAGUGAAUCAUCGAGUCUUUGAACGCACAUUGCGCCCCCUGGUAUUCCGGGGGGCAUGCCUGUCCGAGCGUCAUUGCUGCCCUCAAGCACGGCUUGUGUGUUGGGCCUCCGUCCUCCUCCCGGGGGACGGGCCCGAAAGGCAGCGGCGGCACCGCGUCCGGUCCUCGAGCGUAUGGGGCUUCGUCACCCGCUCUUGUAGGCCCGGCCGGCGCUUGCCGACACAUCAAUCUUUUUUCCAGGUUGACCUCGGAUGAGGUAGGGAUACCCGCUGAACUUAAGCAUAUCAAUAAGCGUAGGA